AGUCUCUGUUAUCAGAAUGUCAACGUACCUUAGAUUCCCUCUCGCAAAAUCUAGCUCUAGACCACUCUUCUCUUCUCCACAAGGACGGUUUAGUUCGGUGCCCUUUUGAUCCAAAUCACCUCAUGCCACCGGAAGCCUCUCGAUCUCACUCCUCUUCUCGGAUCAUUUAGUAGUUACCGAAACACACUCGACUUACCGUAGCUGAACAACGGUGAUGGUGAUCUCUGUUUCUCCUUAGAUGACGUCACCUUCUUCGGGAACAACUUCUUCUACAACGAUUGCCCUGGCGUUGUUAACUUCUCCGAGCUCGAUGGUAAAACGCGACGUUUUACACUUCCUAGUGUUCUUCUGAAUGUUGAAUGCAGCGAGUUUGUAUGUUCUCCUGUGUUGCGCGAUGAAAAGUGAGAUUGGAGGAUGGAGAGAUUACCCAACUUCGUACUCCUAUAGUGUUCUUUGUUCAAUUCUUCGUUCUGAAGCGGUUGAAACGAGUGGGUUAAGGAUACAUACAUGAGGGAUCAUGUUUUUUUGCUGUUUAGGUUGUCUCUGAAAGCGGUUGUUAAGGAAGCUAGUGGGUUUAUGUUAGAGUCUGAUGCUAAAAUGUUUUGGGUGAGCAGAGCUGCAAAAGCAGAACGUUUGAGUGUCCGGCUUUGUUUCGAGUGUUGUCUUGGUUAGCCUCUCAGCUUGCUGUAUUGUAUGGAGAAGGGAACGGGAAGUUUUUUGCUCUAGACAUGUUGAAACAGUGCAUUGAAGUAUCUGCCUCUCAGAUUAUGUUGUUUCGGUCCGAACAGUAAACUUUAAGAUGGUGAAGCAUUUGGAGAAUAACUUAGGUGGGGAAGUUGGCAAAACUGUGGACACUCCCCUAGGAAUAUCUGUGUCUCGUGUGGCAGCAGCUGUUGCAGCUUUAUAUGAAAGAUCCAUGCUUGAAGGAAAAAUAAGAGCAAUUCGAUUUGCCCAACCACUAAUUAGAUAUCAGCGGGUAGCUUAGCAUGGUGUUAUGACAGCUCAAGCUGUUGAGGAACGGAAGGAACGUCCUAGCUACCGACCUAUUAUUGAUCAUGAUGGUCUUCCCAGACAUCGCUUAUCAAAUCAGGAUAUGAAUAAAAUGAAGACAAGAGAAGAGCUUUUAGCUGAAGAGAGAGACUACAAGCGUCGAAGAAUGUCUUACCGUGGUAAAAAGGUGAAACGAACGCCUCGACGGGUGUUGAGGGAUAUGAUAGAAGAAUUUACAGAAGAAGUUAAGCUAGCAGGAGGUAUUGGAUGUUUUGAGAAGGGAAUGCCAUUACACUCCUCAUCUUCUAUAAGCAAGGGUCAGAAAGAAAGUGACCUUGGAUACAGUUAUGUAUCAACAACAUUAACAGACGCAUCACCAAGAUCCUAUAAGCAACGGAAAGGAGAGAAUAGCGAAUAUCGGGUGGAGAUUAGAACCAAUACAGAUAAAGGAAACCUGUAUGAGGAAUAUGAUUCAGGCACUAGCUCAGAGAGACAACAGAGUCACAGAUCAUAAAAGCGCGGUGAUCGAAGAGAUGAUGAAUUCACAAGGACCAAACGACGUAGGAUCAUCUCGUGAAAAGAGUUCAUCAGAUUACAAGACCAAAAGGGAUGAUCGUUAUGACCGCAGCGGUCGGGAACCUACCAAGGCCAAAAGGGAUGAUCGUUAUGACCGCAGCAGUCGGGAACCUAGCAAGACUAAAAUGGAUUGUAUCUAUCUUCAAAGUUCGUUUGAAAGAGAUUGAAGUUAAAAGAAACCAAGUCAUUCGGUUGGUCUGACUUUGGUGGUCUAUUCCGAUAAUCUUGCAGCAAAAGUUUACCCAGACUCGGAGCAUCAGCAGUUUUGUGUGAAUCCGUAUCCUCUUUUGUAUCCUUAACCAUGAUUUUCACCUUCUUUGAUGCAUCUAAAUAUUAACAGAAAUCUUAUCUUUCUUCCCAGCUAUUUCUCAAAGUUCCUUAGGUUUAUAGUUUUUAGUGUUACUUUUCUCCUCUGCUUGUGACAGAUGGAAAUUAAUUCAAAGUAUAUUAUUGUUAUGAACAAGCCCUGAGCCAUGUGAUUGCUAGGAAUAUAUGGGAUCUCGACGAGCCAUGUCAUAAUUUACUCGUUAUCUAAGUGAUAUUUCCACAGUUAAAAUUUCCUUCACAUGAAAAACCAUAAUUUAUUUGUCUUUACAAGUUUACAUGACGAUUAGGUGACGUGUGACGCAAGUAUUUGUUCAUGGAAGAUCUCUGUUUCUUCAUGGCAGGUGUUUUCCUCUCCAGUUCUGAAGAAACCGUCUGAAACGGCUACGUACAAGCAGACGACGGAGCUCCAGAGUAAUCAGAAACCACCGGAGGCGAGAACACAAACCUUGGAGAUUCCUGCACCACAACUCCUUUCAUUAACCUUUCUGUGAACUUCAACCUCACUGAUAAGCUCGGGAGAUCGCCGCUCUCUGUUCUCAGACGGAGGCCUUGAUCUCAAAUACAUCUCUCUGAGAGGCACACGACUGAUCUGCUCGUCUGAUGGCUCUUUCUACUUUGUCUCGUCAUUGUAAACACCAUGUCUUUCCUAGCUUCCACGGGCCAGAUGUCCGUAGAGGCUGUCUCAGCUACUUACUGAAGGAGUUCAAAGAGAAAGCAAUCGACGUCUUCAUAGACAAUGACAUAGAGAGGAGCAAGUUGAUUGGUCCCGAGCUCACAGAAGCUAUAAGAGGAUCGUUAAUUGCAAUUGUCUUGAUCUCGAGGAACUACGCUUCAUCAACAUGGUGUCUGAACGAGUUGGUGGAGAUCAUGAGGUGUUGGGAUGAAGAUAAGCAGACGGUGGAGGUGAUUUUCUAUGAAGUGGAUCCAUCUGACGUGAAAAAGCAGAAGGGAGACUUCGGAGCUGUCUUUGAUAAAACUUGUGCAGAGAAAUCAACGGAGGAAGUUGAGAGAUGGAGAAAAGCUUUGCAUAUUGUGGCUCAACUCGCUGGUUACCAUACAAGUAACUUUGAUGAUGAUGCGGUCAUGACUGCAAAAGUUGUUACGGAUGUUUCGAACAAGUUCAAUGAUUCCACAACAUCAAAUGAUUCCAGCUGCUUGGUUGGGAUUGGAACUCAUAUCAAGGAGAUAGAGUCAUUAUUGUCCUUAGAAUCCGAUGAAGUCCGGAUGGUUGGUAUCUGGGGUCCUUCUGGAAUUGGUAAGACGACCAUCGCCAGAGCUUUAUAUGGAGAGCUCUCUAGUAAGUUUACACAUGCUGCUUUUAUUGAGAGUAUCCAAGGGAAGUUUGAGCAAAACUAUCGAGACGAGCACGCGUUCAAGUUGCAGUUACAAGAACAACUUUUGUCAAAGACCUUAAGUCAGAAAGAUGUAAAAAUAGGUCAUCUGGGUGUGGCAAAAGCAAGGCUGAAGGACAAGAAGGUGCUUGUCGUUCUUGAUGAUGUGGAUGACUUAAAGCAGCUAGAAGCCAUGACUGACAAAACUUGCUGGUUUGGGCCUCAAAGUAGGAUUGUCAUCACGACAAAGGAUAAAAAGCUUUUGGUAGCACAUGAGAUCAACCAUAUUUACCAUGUGGAUUUUCCAUCUUUAUCUGAAGCUCUUGAAAUUCUCUGUCUGUCUGCUUUUCGUCAUAAGUCACCGUCAUCUGGGUUUGAGGACAUGGCCAUAGAAGUUACACGGCUCGCCGGUCGUCUUCCUUUGGGUCUAUGUGUUUUUGGCGCAUAUCUGCGAGGAAUGUCCAGAGAUCAUUGGAUAAAUGCAUUGCCUCGACUUAGGACGAGUCUGGAUGGGGAGAUUGGGAAAGUAUUAAGGGUCAGCUAUGAGGCUUUAUGCGAGGAAGAUCAAGGACUGUUUCUUCAUAUAGCAUGUUUUUUCAAAGGUGAAAGCAUUAAUGACGUGGUGGACUGUCUUGCGGAGAGUCGUUUGAACGUCAAACACGGGCUCCAAGUGUUGUUCGAUAAAUGUUUCAUAUCUUAUGACGAAUGGGGACGGUUGGUGGUUCAUAACUUGCUGGAGAAAUUGGCCAAAGAAAUUAUUCGUAAACAAUCUGUUUCUGAUCCUGGGAAACGUCAGUUCUUGGUCGAUGCUCUGGACAUUUGUGAUGUGCUCGAGGAAAAUGCUGGCACCGAAACUAUUAUAGGAAUAAAUUUUGACUUAUCGGAAGUCAGGGGAGAAUUAAUUAUUGACGAGCGAGCCUUUGAAGGGAUGUCUAGGCUCCAGUUCUUAAGAUUCAAGAAACGGGGUUUGUAUGACAACAUCCAACUUCUCUUACCCCAGGGUCUGAAGUUUAGAGCUAGUAAGCUUAAGUUUCUCGAAUGGUAUCGAUUUCCGUUGACGUGUUUUCCUCGUGAGUUUCAACCGCGGCGUCUUGUCAAACUUAUGAUGGAGGACAGCAACCUUGAAAAGCUGUGGGAAGAACCUAUUCCUCUCCCAUGUCUGAAGUUGAUAGAGCUGUCUGGUUCCGUCUACCUCAAAGAACUUCCGGAUCUGUCUAAUGCCACUAAUCUCAAGGUACUGAGGGCUGGUUUCUGCUCAAGUCUGUCGGAGAUCUCCUCUAUUGGGAAGUCCACUAGUCUCGAGGAGUUGCAUCUCGAAUAUUGCCGAAAGUUGACCAAGAUCCCCUCUUCCAUUGGGAAUGCCAUUAAUCUCGAGGCCUUGAAUGUCGAGGGAUGCGAGGGUCUGGUUGAACUCCCAUCCUCUAUUUGGAGCCUCAGUAAGUUAAAGAAACUGUUAAUUUUAGGAUGCUCAAAGCUAAACCGUUUGGGGUCACAGUUGAGAAGCUUUCUUGAUAUUUCCGGAAACAUUACAGAAUUCAGUAUUACUGAUACAGAGAUAGAAGAGUUUCCUUCAUCAAUCAUGGCUUUUUCGUGUCUUCGUGAUCUCUGUGUGAAUGCCGAAAGACUCGAGGUGUUUCCAGAUGUUCCUGACACCAUCGAAAACCUAACAUUAAUCAUCGCGAGAAUAGAAGAAAUUCCUCCAUCGAUUCAGAAUCUCACACGUCUCACUAGACUAAGCUUGUCUCGCUGCAAGAAGCUAAAGGUAUUUCCAACCAACGUCAACCUGCAAUCUCUCUCUCGACUUUAUCUCAGUUCCUGUACACAAUUGAGAACAUUUCCAGAGAUAUCUACAAGCAUUAGUUAUCUUAAUCUGAGCGAUACUUCUAUAGAAGAAGUCCCUUCAUCCAUAUGGUCGUGGCCCCAUCUUCGUGAAUUGGACUUGGAAGAUUGCCGCAGCCUUCGGGUGAUCCAUAGUUUUCCUGACAACAUCGAAGAGUUGGACUCGGGCUUGAGCGAUACGGGAACAGAUUCCUCAGGUGGUGAUUCGGAGACUCGUCUACCAUUAUGUAUAAACCUCAAAGGGUGCAAGAGUCUUGUGUCAUUGCCCCACAUUCCGUAUUGCGUCUCACUCCUUGAUGCAUCUAACUGUAAGUCGCUGGAGAGAAUAGAUGGCUUAGUUAGCAAUCCAGAGAGAUGUCUCAUCUUUAUUAAUUGUUCCAAGCUGAGCAAACCAGCGAGAGAACUCAUUGAGGUAUCGGAUUGCAAGUCUGCGCUCUUUCCUGGUGGAGAACUGCCUGCAGACUUUGAUCACCGAGCAAGAGAGGGUUUACUAACGGUCCAGAGCCAUCUUCCUUUAUUCUUAAGAUUUAAAGCUUGUCUUUUGCUGCUUCAUAGAGGUUAUAUAGAGGACGAGGAUGAUGAGGACGAGGAAUGCAUGUGUGGCAAGAGGCUUUCAUGUGACAUCUGGUGCGUUCAAAAUGGCGUCGAUGUUGGACAUGGAUCACGCGCGUACUAUCUACCAGCAACACUUGGAUCUAAGGAGCAUUUGUAUUUCUUGGAAUCUUCCAUCUCACUAAACCUUCCUGAAACAGAUGUGAAUUUUAGCGAGCUUCAUUUUGAGUUCUACGAGAUCACUGGUAAAUACUGGGAUGUAAAAGACUUUGCUAUAAAACUCUUGGAAGAUACUCACAACGAAGCUGAACAGAAAGUAACUGCAGACAUCAAGAUAGAGAAAAUGCAGGAACAAUGUGAAUGUCUGCGAGCUUCAUUUUGAGUUCAAGAACUCUGGUAAGAAUGUGAAAGACUUUGCUGUACAACUCUUGGAAGAUCCUGAUGUUCAUGGUGACCAUGGAUGCUGUGAAGAUACUCACAACGAAGCUGAGUACAAAGAAACUGCAGACAUCAAGAUAGAGAAACUUACAUGCAGGAACAAUGUGAACAAGAGACAAUUUAACUGGUUUCCGUACGUCAUGGAUGAAGAGUAGAGAGAGCAGAAAAGAGUUGGGUGCUUGUGUGUCCUUGUAGCUUAUCUUUGCGUAUAGGUACUUGUCUUUUGGAUCUGUGGCAUUAGCAUCUACAUCUGUGGCACGGCUCUCUUGGACUGAAACUGCGAUUGGUCAUUUUGUUAUUCGAAUAUGUCAGUUGUUUGUUUCUAUUUUGAAGCAUCUAUUUUAUAAUAACAUUUGUAUAAUUGACAUGUUAAAGCACUGUUCAUUUGGGAACAGGAACGUAUGUUGAGAGUGGUUUAUUUUAUUUGAUCAGAAGUCGAUAAUUCCUAAA